GCCUAACACAUGCAAGUCGAGCGAGAAGGAUCCUUCGGGAUCUGGAGAGCGGCGGACGGGUGAGUAACGCGUGGGAACGUACCCUUCGGUGGGGGACAACAGCUGGAAACGGCUGCUAAUACCGCAUACGCCGGAGACGGGAAAGAUUUAUCGCCGAGGGAUCGGCCCGCGUUAGAUUAGCUAGUUGGUAGGGUAAUGGCCUACCAAGGCUACGAUCUAUAGCUGGUCUGAGAGGAUGAUCAGCCACACUGGGACUGAGACACGGCCCAGACUCCUACGGGAGGCAGCAGUGGGGAAUUUUGGACAAUGGGCGCAAGCCUGAUCCAGCCAUGCCGCGUGCGGGAAGAAGGCCUUCGGGUUGUAAACCGCUUUUGUCAGGGAAGAAAAGACUCCGGAUAAUACCUGGGGUUCAUGACGGUACCUGAAGAAUAAGCACCGGCUAACU
rnacentral:rRNA from 1 species